AUGAAGGCUAUGAUGUUGAGAACUACCUAUUUUCUUAGGGAAAAAUUUCCCGUAUGAUUAAACAAACCAAUGGAUCCUUCUGAGCCUUUGA